CGGGGUGAGUAACGCGUGGAGUAACCUGCCUUACACUGGGGGAGUAACACUUAGAAAUAGGUGCUAAUACCGCAUAAGCGCACAGAGCCGCAUGGCUCAGUGUGAAAAACUCCGGUGGUGUAAGAUGGAUCCGCGUCUGAUUAGCUUGUUGGCGGGGUAAAGGCCCACCAAGGCGACGAUCAGUAGCCGGCCUGAGAGGGUGAACGGCCACAUUGGGACUGAGACACGGCCCAAACUCCUACGGGAGGCAGCAG
rnacentral:rRNA from 1 species